GUAGAGAAAAUACGAGUAUAAAAAGCCGGCUUUUUCUCUGGACUUAUCAUCACAAUUCGUCCUAUAUCAGUUGCAGCGAUAACCCAAAAUGUUCCAGAAAUUUUUUCUCUUUGCUUGCGUCUUGGCUGUGAUGGCCGUCGUCUACACCAACUCGGCACCCACUGAAGAUGAACCCGCUAAUUCCGACGAGCCGGGAGACCAGUUCUUGUUCUACUGUCGCUGGUUCACUUCUUGCAGCAACAGCACCCAGUGCUCGAGCAAUCUGAUCUACAAGACCUGCAACGGUGGCCGUUGCUGUAGAGGUUAAACAUAAUGAGGUGUAACCUAGUAACGAAAGCUUUCUGACACGGACCACUUUUAAGAAAACCGAUAUAUUUUUCGAGUUUCUAAUUAUACCCAUUUCCUUUUACAUCCCAAGUUUUAUUAAUUGAGUUCUAUCAAGAGUUGUCAUGUCCAUCUCUUUUGUAUGAAUCUCAGUUAAGCAAAAAAUAAAUACCAUUUUCAAUUUCAAAA